UACGUAGGGGGCGAGCGUUGUCCGGAUUUACUGGGCGUAAAGCGCGCGCAGGCGGUCCGGUAAGUCUGCGGUGAAAUCGCCCGGCUCAACUGGGCGGGUGCCGGGGAGACUGGCGGACUUGAGGAGGCUAGAGGCCGGUGGAACUCCCGGUGUAGUGGUGAAAUGCGUAGAGAUCGGGAAGAACACCUGUGGCGAAAGCGGCGCACUGGACCACAACUGACGCUGAGGCGCGAAAGCUAGGGGAGCAAACAGG
rnacentral:rRNA from 1 species